rnacentral:rRNA from 1 species
UGGGGAAUAUUGCGCAAUGGGCGAAAGCCUGACGCAGCGACGCCGCGUGUGGGAUGACGGCCUUCGGGUUGUAAACCACUGUCGGGAGGGACGAAUGCCCCGCAAGGGGAGUGACGGUACCUCCAAAGGAAGCACCGGCUAACUCCGUGCCAGCAGCCGCGGUAAUACGGAGGGUGCAAGCGUUGUCCGGAAUCACUGGGCGUAAAGGGCGCGUAGGCGGCUCGGUAAGUAGGGGGUGAAAUCCUGCGGCUUAACCGCAGGGCUGCCUUCUAAACUGUCGAGCUUGAGCACGGUAGAGGCAGAUGGAAUUCCCGGUGUAGCGGUGGAAUGCGUAGAGAUCGGGAAGAACAUCAGUGGCGAAGGCGGUCUGCUGGGCCGUUGCUGACGCUGAGGCGCGACAGCGUGGGGAGCAAACA